GAUGAACGCUAGCGGCAGGCUUAAUACAUGCAAGUCGAGGGGCAGCACAGAUAGCAAUAUUGGGUGGCGACCGGCAAACGGGUGCGGAACACGUACACAACCUUCCUUUUAGUGUGGGAUAGCCCAGAGAAAUUUGGAUUAAUACCACAUAGUAUAUUGGAGUGGCAUCACUUUGAUAUUAAAGAUCUAUCGCGAAAAGUUGGGUGUACGUAUGAGUAUGUAGUUGGUAGAGGUAACGCCUCACCAAUCCUUCGAUCAUUAACUGGUGUGAAAGCACGACCAGUCACACGGGCACUGAGACACGGGCCCGACUCCUACGGGAGGCAGAAGUAAGGAAUAUUGGUCAAUGCACGGAAGUCUGAACCAGCCAUGCCGCGUGAAGGAUGACGGCCCUCUGGUUUGUAAACUUCUUUUAUGUGGGACGAAAAAGGGCCAUUUUUGGUCAACUGACGGUACCAUAGGAAUAAGCACCGGCUAACUCCGUGCCAGCCGCCGCGGUAA
rnacentral:rRNA from 1 species